CUCUAGCGCACCUCUUGUCCACUCCUUUUCUGCGACAGCACCAGCGCAUGCGCCGCCGUCACUUGCUGCUCAUAGUGGCUGCGCGGUGUACCGCCGCCAACAAUACCUUAAGCGGAGGGAGGAUGUACGCUGCAGCAUCAGUCCUGACCUCUUUUGCCGAAUGGAUUUGGGGUAGCUUGCACAGGCACUUUUUCAUGGAGCUGAUAUUAUAGAUAUUGGGAUAUGGGGACUAUUCAUUAGAUUGAUUUGAGCUGGAGAUCGACAUCUUCUGGAAGUAUGUGGUAUGAGAGAGAUGAGGAUAGAUUAAAUAGAGUUGAUAUCCAUUGCUAGAGGAAAAAGCACGAAUGGUCAUUUUGCGUUGCUGGGUAACAUGAUGAUUUGAGGAGCAUGAUUGGCAAACCCACCUUCAGUUUUAACUUAUGGUCAGGGAUUCCUAGGGAUGUCAAGGUGUUGAGGAACUCCGUAGGCUGCAUGUUGCCUUCCACACUGGGUCCAGGCUUAGGCCUUCGAUGUGUCUAGGCGUCUUGCCGCCCCCUUGGAUACGCGGGGUGUCAUGCCGAUCUUGUUGGUGCAAUCGAUCGUCCUUAGCAUGUGUUGAAGAACUUGAAGUGUUCUUACCCAAAGUUGAUGUUGUUUCUGUUGUUCCUUCCUCGGGCCUUCAAUGUGAUGGGUGUCCUACCAUCCCCUUUGAUAGGCGAGGCAGCAACCUUGCAGGUGCAGCUAAUCGUCCUCAGCAUCCACCUUGCCGUUGCAACUGAUCGACCUUAGCAUCGACCUUGCCGGUGCAACUGACCGUCCUUGGCAUGUGUGGAUGUGUUGUGUGGAUCUGCCUUCAAUAUGUCGUACAGUGUUGUGACGUGUGGCGACAUGUGUUGAUUCGCUAGGUGUGAUGUCUUGUAAUGUUUCUAUGUUGCAGAUGUGUCAACCUGAGCUUUAAGUCUUCUUGCGCAAAAUAGCAUAUGUCCGUGUACAGCGUGCAACUAAUUCAAGUCUGUACGUGAAACGGUAUAUGUAUGUCUCCUUGCACAUGUCCUUGGCUAAUAUGUAUGUCUCCUUGCCUAAUAUGCAUGUGCAAUAUUAAAUAAAGUGUCCUUGC
rnacentral:rRNA from 1 species